GCAGUGCGCAGCCGCCGCCACCAGGGGGAGCCGCAGCGUCACCGCCCACCGGUACCGGGGAGCUGGGAGACACCGGGAUGGAGGGAACGAGUUUGUUUGCUGCAGACACUGGUGCAUAAGGAUGGACCUGAGUUGGCUCAGCCCCAGGGUUUGAAGCACCCAGGCCUGACAGCAGUGGCUUCUUUAGCCGACAGAGAGAACAUGUUCCUGCAGUCAGCAGGAAGCAAUUUGAGAGCUGAAAAGGCAGGGAAGCAUGACAUUAGUUUUCAAUUCAAGACUGAGAGGGACGAGCAUGAGAUCUGCUUGUUCUGAACUCCCGAGGUACGUGAUCAUUCAAGAUCAUUCAAAGAAGAGAGCGUUCAAUUCAGCGCAGUAGUCAAUGGCAACCUCUCAUGAAGAUAUGAGUUUGCUUAUAUCUAGCAUAUCCAUUAAGAAUUAUUUCAUAUAUAGA